CGGGACGGGUGAGUAAUGUCUGGGAAACUGCCUGAUGGAGGGGGAUAACUACUGGAAACGGUAGCUAAUACCGCAUAACGUCGCAAGACCAAAAGAAGGGGGGACCGUUCGGGCCUCUUGCCAUCGGAUGUGCCCAGAUGGGAUUAGCUAGUAGGUGGGGUAACGGCUCACCUAGGCGACGAUCCCUAGCUGGUCUGAGAGGAUGGCCAGCCACACUGGAACUGAGACACGGUCCAG
rnacentral:rRNA from 1 species